CUUGAUCGACCCCAACCACAGCGGCUCGCCGCGAUCCUGGCCGUACGUCGCCAACAACGCUUGCGCCUC
rfam:Mycobacterium triplex DSM 44626 genomic scaffold, SCAFFOLD00001